rnacentral:rRNA from 1 species
UGUGUAGGCGGUUUUCUAAGUUCGGUGUGAAAUCUCCCGGCUUAACUGGGAGGGUGCGCCGAAAACUGGAAGGCUUGAGUAUGGGAGAGGAAAGCGGAAUUCCUGGUGUAGCGGUGAAAUGCGUAGAUAUCAGGAGGAACACCUGCGGUGUAGACAGCUUUCUGGACCAUCACUGACGCUGAGACACGAAAGCGUGGGUAGCAAACAGGAUUAGAUACCCUGGUAGUCCACGCCCUAAACGAUGCAUACUUGGUGUGAGCCGUUCAUUCGGUUCGUGCCGGAGCUAACGCGUUAAGUAUGCCGCCUGGGGAGUACGGUCGCAAGGCUGAA